UUACCCCUAAUUAACAAACCCUAAUUAGUACGUGGUUGUCCCGUGGCGCCGUUCCACGGCCGAGGCCGUUCAGAUCGUGGUGUCUCAUCUGCUGGGGGACGCAGGCAGCCCCUACCUGGUCGGGGUGCUCAGUGACACCCUCCGCUCCCGCUCUGUGUUCUCCUAUGGGGCCGAGGUUCUGGCCCUACAACGUUCUCUGCUCCUCACCCCAUUUGUGGCUGCUCUGGGUGGGGCCUGUUUCUUGGGGACGGCCAUCAGCCUCCAUAGGGACAGGCUGAGAAUGGAGGAUCCUGUGUCUGACGACGGGGACGUGGAGCCGCCAAUGGGAGACACGGGAAACACCAACAUGGAACACGGGGGGAGCAUACGCGUGUAACACGGCAACAACACGCGUGUAACACGGCAACAACAUGUGUGUGACACGGCAACAACACGCGUGGGACAUGGCAACAACACACGUGUCAUACAAUGGACAUGUGUAAUACGGCAACGACACGCGUGUGACAUGACAAGGACACGCGUGUCAUACAAUGGACAUGUGUGUGAUACAAUGGACACGUGUAAUACAAUGGACAUGUGUGUGACAUGACAAGGACACGCGUGUGACACGGCAACGACACGCGUGUGACAUGACAAGGACACGCGUGUCAUACAAUGGACAUGUGUGUGUAAUACAAUGGACAUGUGUGUGACAUGACAAGGACACAUGUGUCAUGCAAUGGACAUGUGUAACACGGCAACGACACGCGUGUGACAUGGCAACAACACGUGUGUGAUGUCAAUGGACAUGCGUCUAACAUGAGAAAGACACGCGUGUGACAUGACAAGGACACGCGUGUGACACAAUGGACAUGUGUGUGAUACAAUGGACAUGCGUGUGACAUGACAAGGACACACGUGUGACAUGACAAGGACACGUAUGACACAGUGGGCAUGUGUGUAAGAUGACAAGGACACACGUGUGACACUAUGGACAUGCGUCUAACAUGAGAAGGACACGUGUGUGACAUGACAAGGACACGUAUGACACAAUGGACACGCGUGUGACAUGAUAAGGACACACAUGUGACAUGAUGAGGACACACACAUGACACUAUGGACAUUUGACUAACAUGUGAAGGACACGCGUGUGACAUGACAAGGACACACGUGUGACAAUGGACACGCGUGUGACAAUGGACACACAUGUGACACAGCAAGGACACGCAUGUGACACGGCAACAACACGCGUGCCAUACAAUGGACAUGUGUGUGAUACAAUGGACAUGUGUGUGACAC